rnacentral:rRNA from 1 species
GAUGAACGCUGGCGGCGUGCCUAAUACAUGCAAGUCGAGCGAAUGGAUUGAGAGCUUGCUCUUAUGAAGUUAGCGGCGGACGGGUGAGUAACACGUGGGUAACCUGCCCAUAAGACUGGGAUAACUCCGGGAAACCGGGGCUAAUACCGGAUAACAUUUGAACCGCAUGGUUCGAAAUUGAAAGGCGGCUUCGGCUGUCACUUAUGGAUGGACCCGCGUCGCAUUAGCUAGUUGGUGAGGUAACGGCUCACCAAGGCAACGAUGCGUAGCCGACCUGAGAGGGUGAUCGGCCACACUGGGACUGAGACACGGCCCAGACUCCUACGGGAGGCAGCAGUAGGGAAUCUUCCGCAAUGGACGAAAGUCUGACGGAGCAACGCCGCGUGAGUGAUGAAGGCUUUCGGGUCGUAAAACUCUGCUGUUAGGGAAGAACAAGUGCUAGUUGAAUAAGCUGGCACCUUGACGGUACCUAACCAGAAAGCCACGGCUAACUACGUGCCAGCCGCCGCCGUAA